GAUGAAGAACGUAGCGAAAUGCGAUAAGUAGUGUGAAUUGCAGAAUUCAGUGAAUCAUCGAAUCUUUGAACGCACAUUGCGCCCCUUGGUAUCCCGAGGGGCAUGCCUGUUCGAGCGUCAUUUCACCACUCAAGCCUGGCUUGGUGUUGGGCGACGUCCCCUUUGGGGACGCGCCUCGAAACGCUCGGCGGCGUGGCACCGGCUUUAAGCGUAGCAGAAUCUUUCGCUUUGGAAGUCGGGGCCCCGUCUGCCGGAAGACCUACUCGCAAGGUUGACCUCGGAUCAGGCAGGGAUACCCGCUGAACUUAAGCAUAUCAAUAAGCGUAGGA
rnacentral:misc_RNA from 1 species